UUGUAACGCCCCGGAUUCGUUGCGCCAGGUGUCCGUCAGUUAUUCGUCGUCGUUGCCAUGUCAUUUGCUUGCGUGUUGCACUUUGCCAUGUCAUCAUUUGCAUUUUAUCAUGUCAUCAUGUGCAUUUCAUUUUGCAUACAUGUUCGUCUCAUGCAUCCGAGCAUUUUCCCCGUUGUCUGUUUUGCAAUCCGGCGCUCCUAUGUCCUCCGGCGUCUCCCUCUUCUCUCUUUUCGUGUGCGGGUGUUAAACUUUCUCGGAAUGGCCCGAGGUUUGCCAAGCGGCCUUGGUAUACCACCGGUAGACCGCCUGUCAAGUUUCGUGCCAUUUGGAGGUCGUUUGGUACUCCAAUGGUUAACCGGGUAAUCGCAGAAGCCUUCUUUUGUUGCAGCCCAACACCCCUUCCAAAGUGGCCCAAAACCCACCAAACUCCCCUCAAUGCUCUCGGCCGUUCGAUCACGAUCGCGUGGCCGAAAACCGCACCUCAUUUGGACACUCCUAGCUCCCUCUACCUAUAUAUAACCCCUCCCCCCGAAAUUCGCGGAUCAAAUCGCAGACGAAACCCUAAAUCUUCCCUCCGCGCCACCGGACGUGUCCGCCCGCCGCCGGACACGACCACCGCCACCUGACCUCGGCCAAUAGCGCGCCGCCACCUCAGCAUCUCCGCCUCCCGCGGCCAAUCCGAGGGCGCCGCGUGGCCCUCCUGUCUCCAGCGCCGCCGCCGGCCCGCGGGGCCCGCCCCCGGCCCGNNNNNNNNNNNNNNNNNNNNNNNNNNNNNNNNNNNNNNNNNNNNNNNNNNNNNNNNNNNNNNNNNNNNNNNNNNNNNNNNNNNNNNNNNNNNNNNNNNNNNNNNNNNNNNNNNNNNNNNNNNNNNNNNNNNNNNNNNNNNNNNNNNNNNNNNNNNNNNNNNNNNNNNNNNNNNNNNNNNNNNNNNNNNNNNNNNNNNNNNNNNNNNNNNNNNNNNNNNNNNNNNNNNNNNNNNNNNNNNNNNNNNNNNNNNNNNNNNNNNNNNNNNNNNNNNNNNNNNNNNNNNNNNNNNNNNNNNNNNNNNNNNNNNNNNNNNNNNNNNNNNNNNNNNNNNNNNNNNNNNNNNNNNNNNNNNNNNNNNNNGGCCGCGCGCCACCGCGGCCGAGCUCCGCCACCGCACCACUCGCCGGCCUCCGCCCUCCGUCGCCGCGCCCUUCGCCGCCUCCCGUUGUCCCCGCCAACUCCGGCGACUUCGCCGUCGUCGCCGGCCGCCGCCACCGAUCCGGAUCCGGCGCCUGGAUCAGAUCCACCACCACCACCAUCCAAACGCCUCCCCGCUGCACCCGGAUCCCUCCGUCCGCGCCGUCUCGUCCCGGUUGACUUUUCGGAGGGUAAAAAAACGUCUAAGUCCCAGAAUUCUAUUAUUUUCAUGUCAUUUUCAUUGCAUUACAUCUCUGCAUCCGUAGCUCCGUUUUGGGUGUAUAACAUGUCAAAUUGUUCGUCUCGAAGAGUACAUCAUUUCAUUCCAUUGCAUCAUUUGCAUUUGAGCUCAUCUUGAUGCCCGAAAUGCUGUUGGAAGAGGGCUUCAGAUCGUUAGUUCCAGAAUCUUAUCAGCACGAGCUCUUUUGUCAUUUUUGCCAUGAUUUAUGUGUGCACCCUAUGAACUUGAGUCCUACAUGAAUGUUCAAAUUUGCCAUGCCAUCUUUCCAGGGGUGUUUGCCAUGUAUUUUUGUGAGUUAUGUGUUGACUAGAACAAGCAUGCAAAGUAGGGAUGAUGAUGUUGCUGAUUUCAGGAACUUAGUGUUUUUCACUAAGUCUUGUCCUGCUGUUAUUUUUAUGCCAUAUGUUCAUGUGUUACAGAGAGAUCUAUGCCCCUUUUGAGCAUGAUCUGUAAGGAUGUUUUGAACAUAUGGAUGUGCUCUAUCCAUCCAUGCCUUUGUUGGCAUUUAUGGAGUAGUCUAGCAUGUCAUUUUCGUGCUCUACUUUUGCUUGAAAAUGUUUCCAGGCAGAUUGUUUGCAUGAGAUUCAAUUUUCACGACGUCGUUGUAGUUGAUCCGUGUAUGUUAUGAUGUUGUUCUUGCCAUGUAUAGCUUCUAUGCCAUGUCUUCUUGAUGGGUGUAUGCUUAGUUUAUCAUGAGGUGCUCUGUAGUGAGUGCAUCGAGCUCAUGAACAUGCCUACUUGAUAUCUGUUUUUGCCAUGCCCAGUUUUUCUGCUAAGUCUGAAAUCUGUAAUAAAACUUGCUAUGUUUACAUGGGUGCAAUCAUUUCUUAGAGUCCUUUUUGGCUUAUGGUCAGUAAGGGACUAUUGAUAUAUGCUUUGAGUAGAAUCAUGUCAUGCCUUGUUUUGCUAUUAUAAGUUCCUUUAGCAUGUUGUUUGCUUGCUCUAAACAUGCCUUCCUGAUGUUAAUUCCUGGCAUGUUAGUAUUUUCACUAAGUCUGUGAACCUGAUAUUUUUUGCACUUUCACCAUGCUUGUUUGAACAUGUUAUGAUGUGAUUUAGCCGUAGCUCAGUGUUCCUCUUUUGUUAAGCAUCUCCUGUAGAUCGCUGCCAUAUGCUUUGUUUUUAUGUUGGGGCGCUGUAGCAUAGUUUCUUGUUGCUUGCUAAGUAGCAUCGGGCUGUUAAACGCAGAUUUGCGUCAUUCUUGUUUUGCUUGUCAUUUGCAAACCGUGCAUCCGAUUCCGGUGAUCUAUAUAUGAUUUCAACCGAAAUCAUCUCAUCUUUCCAGCGGCAUACUUGGUUUGCCAAGUUGAUGCCCGUUUCAUCAUUUUCCUUCCGGAGCACACAUAUGCAUUGCAUAUCACAUCUCGCAUAGCAUGUCAUGUAUUGCAUCAUAUUGCUUGUGCAUUGUUCCUUGUUUGAUUGUGGUUCCGUUGCUUGUGUUCUUGCUUUGGGUAGAGCCGGGAGACGAGUACGUGAACGAGGAACCUGUUGAGAACGCCUACGAGGAUCAAGCCUUCGACAACUCUGAGAACCUUGCAGGCAAGAUGACCGCUACCUUGGAUCUCACUACUAUCAUUGCUAUGCUAGUUGCCUCGUUCUUUCGCUAUGCUACGCUACCUAUUACCUGUUUGUCCAGCCAUGCCAUUUUGCCAUGAACCUCUAACCUUUGACACCUUUCCUAUGCAAACCGUUGUUUGGCUAUGUUACCGCUUUUCUCAGCCCCUCUUAUAGCGUUGCUAGCUGCAGGUGAAGUUGAAGAUUUCUCCAUGGUGGACAGGGUUUAUGUGGGGAUAUCACAAUAUCUCUUAUAUUAUUAAUGCAUCUAUAUACUUGGUAAAGGGUGGAAGGCUUGGCCUUAUGCCUGGUGUUUUGUUCCACUCUUGCCGCCCUAGUUUCCGUCAUACCAGUGUUAUGUUCCUGGAUUUUGCGUUCCUUACGCGGUCGGGUGAUUUAUGGGACCCCCCUGACAGUUCGCUUUGAAUAAAACUUGUCCAGCAAGGCCCAACAUUGACUUUUACCAUUUGCCUCACCACCACCUAUUUUUCCCUUGGGAGUCGCUAUCUCGAGGGUCAUCUUUAUUAUAGCCCCCCAGGGCCAGUGCUUGUCUAAGCGUUGGUCCAAACUAGAGCACCGUGCGGGACCAUCCCUUGGCAACUUGGGUUAUGUCGGUACCUGUACGCUUCGCUUAUCCGGUGUUGCCCUGAGAACAAGAUAUGUGCAGCUCCUAUCGGGAUUGUCGGCGCAUCGGGCGGCUUUGCUGGUCUUGUUUUACCAUUGUCGAAAUGUCUUGAUGUACCGGGAUUCCGAGACUGAUCGGGUCUUCCUGGGUGAAGGUCUAUUCCUUCGAUGAUCGCGAGAGCUUGUCAUGGGCUAAGUUGGGACACCCCUGCAGGGUUUAAACUUUCGAGAGCCGUGCCCGCGGUUAUGUGGCAGAUGGGAAUUUGUUAAUGUCCGGUUGUAGACAACUUGACACCAGAUCCAAAUUAAAACGCAUCAACCGAGUGUGUAGCCGUGAUGGUCUCUUCUCGGCGGAGUCCGGGAAGUGAACACGGUUUCUGUGUUAUGUUUGACGUAAGUAGGUGUUCAGGAUCACCUCUUGAUCAUUGCUGGCUUCACGACCGUUCCGCUUGUUCUCUUCUCGCUCUUAUUUGCGUUGGUUAGCCACCAUAUCAUGCUUAGUCGCUGCUGCAGCCUCACCAUUUUACCCUUUCCUUUCCCAUUAAGCUUUGCUAGUCUUGAUACCCAUGGUAAUGGGAUUGCUGAGUCCUCGUGGCUCACCAGAUACUUCCAAAACCAGUUUGCAGGUGCCUAUGUUACCGAGCAGGUGACGCAACCAAGCUCAAGGAGGAGCUCGAUGAAGGUCUUGCCCCUUUGUGUUGUUUCGUUCUAGUUGAUCAGUAGUGGAGCCCAGUUGGGGUCGAUCGGGGACCUUUGUCGCAUUUGGGGUUCUUCUUUUAUUUUGGUUCCGUAGUCGGACCUUGAUUGUAUCUGGAUGAUGUAAUGCUUUAUUCAUGUAAUUGUGUGAAGUGGCGAUUGUAAGCCAACUAUGUAUCUCUUUCCCUUAUGUAUUACAUGGGUUGUGUGAAGAUUACCUCACUUGCGACAUUGCUUUCAAUGCGGUUAUGCCUCUAAGUCGUGCUUCGACACGUGGGAGAUAUAGCCGCAUCGACGGCGUUACAAGUUGGUAAUCAGAGCCUUCCCCGACCUUAGGAGCCCCACUGCUUGAUCGUUUUUAGCGGCCGAGUUGUGUCUAUAAAAAUGUUUUGAGUCAUUUAGGAUUAUAUAUAUCGGAGAGUUAGGAAUUCUUUUUACUCCUCAGUCCCUUCGUCGCUCUGGUGAGGUCUCCUGACGUAGAGUUUUGACUCUUCUCUUCUCAAAUUUCACUAAAAAAAUUUUAGGAUCACGCGGGUAUCUUAGAAUCGUUCCGAUGGUUUUAUGAGGACAACAUUGUCUUGGUGCCUCCCAUCAGCAGGGUUUUUUUUACUGGAGGUGUCCCGAGGUGUUGUCGUCAUAAUUUUAUCGUUGCAGUUCUGGAAUACCUGAGUUUAGUACGCCGACAUCGAAAAUCUCUUUUAUGCAGUUGUUGGUGAGAUAACCCCGCUAACCCAGUACUGAGGUGAGUACGGGAGUAUUGCCAUGACUCGUAUAACGGAUGCUUUUCGAAGGUUGAGGUAGACGAUUUCCGAAGGUUUCUCGGUUAUGUGUUGACGGAUGGAUACAGCUGGAUGUAGGGAUUGUUAGUUUGGGUGAGAUAUAUUGCUCCCCUGUAUCCCCAACACCAGAUUGCAUAACCAGAAAGUUUCGGGAGUUUUAUAGGUGGGAAUUCAAGUAGCUCCUAGAAUAUCUUUUCGACAGUUGCAUGAUAUGGGAUUGGGUAAAUCUCUAUCAUAUGUAUUUGUUCCGGCUUAUUCUGCAAGCCAAAUCCUUUGUUUUGUUUUAUUUGUGGUAUUCGAGUUGCUUCGAAGUCAAGUGUUGAAUCCAUACCUUUCCUAAACGGUGUUCUCAUAUUGCUAUGUGAAUACUAAUCCUUUUUGAUCAUUGAGGUUGUCAUGUUAAUUCUUUUCCAACCGGUGCGUUUCUCUUCAAGUGGAUCCGAUCAUUCUCCCCAUCCGCAAGAUCAUUUCUAAGUUUUCUCAACGGUGUUUGUUCCAUCCAUCCCAAGUUGUCUUUGUUUUCCCGCCCUCCCACCCUUUUUCUUCAAGGACACAGAUUUCUUAAUCAAGUAUCCAUUUAUUCAUGUGAAGUCUCUUCAUUCUUUUCAAUCAAUGUUCUUAUCCGGUGAUUUCCCACGAAGAUGUGCUACUAGUUCAUCAUCCUUCGUUCUUUUGCUUCUCCGGUGGAUCCAAUUCAAGAUUUCAGUGUUGAUCAUAUUCUUUUCCUCGUGUCAAAUGCUUUAUCAUGUCGGUGCACCUCUCAAUCACUCACUUCUCGCCAUUCAUUUGUUCUGGAGUUCCAAAGUUAUCUCAGAAGAUUCAAGUUUCCAUUCUCAAUUCACUCAAGUUCUUUUGAGGAUGCUAUCUCAUGCUAGUCAUUUAAUCAACCGGUGCAAUCUCCCUUUCAAGUAAUCGUUCAACGGUAUUUUCCUUUGAGUGGGCCCUAACCCACAGGUCUUUUCCCAGGAUCUUACCUGACUCUUCUAUUUAUCCGGAGCGAUUUCCAAAGUCUUUCGAAGGUUGACGUAAGAAUGAAUUUUCAUCAGUCAUAUCCCUUCUCCAAGAUCGUUUUCAAAAUAUUUUGAUCGUUGCUUCAUCAUUUCCAUUCUUCUUUGAUCCCAAGUGCCUCAACAAUUCAUGGUGGUUUUCAUCAUCAUUCUCAACAUUUGAAGACCGAAGAAGAGUUCCUCUUAAAUCCUUACCCGUUCUUCCAGAGAUUCAUGGUUCUAGCUUCAUGCUAUCCUCAUAAUUGUUUUGAUUGUGACAAUUCUUUUCACCCAUCCGGAGCAUUUCUUGAGUUGUUUCCAUUUCUUUCUUCUGAAGGCCAUCAUGUCAUAAUUCUUUAUUCUCAGUGUGUAGCUAUCAUUCUCUAAAUCUUACCGGUGCAUCGUUCAAAUAUCCUCUAAUCAAUUCAUGAUCUCUUUGUUCUCAUGUAUCUAAAUCCCCUCAAGUAUCUUCAUUCGUUUUCCAAUUCUUUCCGGUGAAUUGUGCCCUUGCUACUCUCUUUUUCAAUUCUUACGGUGGUUCUUUCAAGAUAUCUCUUCCUUGGUCAUCAUAUCACAUUCUCGGUUCGAGAGGCUUCAUCUUUUCUUUUUCGGAGUUCCAAGUUUUCCGCAUUAUCAUCGCGAAGCUCCAUCUAAAUCAUUGCAAGGAUUCACCCUGUGUUUCCAACUUCUUUUUCUUUUCAUCAUCCUUUUAUUACCGGAGUUCUUCAUGGAGGCUCUACAUGGUGGUUCGUCAAUGAUUCUUUUCAUUCUUCAAUUGUUCUUCAAGAUUUCUCUUGAAGCUAAGAAUAGCCAAGCUAUACUCAAAAUUAAACAUGGUGUUCAACACAUGUUUUGUUUUGAGGCGUUUAAGUAUUCUUCUUCUUGCAUUUCGAAGUGCAAUUCUUUCUACCUUAUCUUUUCAGAUGGUGAUAUGUCAUUCUUGAUAAUUUCCAUUCAUGUUUCAUGAUUCAUAUGUUGUCAAGAAUGAGGUAUUUUAAAUCCAUCAGUCUCUUCAUUGGAGUUAUCUUGGGUUAUAUUUCACCUAAAGUUUUCCCUAAGGAUUGUGCUAUUUAUGGUGCUUAUGAAUGACCCAAGUUCUUCAUUUGUCCUUCCGGUGAAAUAAGUUUCUCGUCUCCUUGUUGAUAUCAAUCCAAUCAUUUGUUUCCGUUGGUGGCAGAUGUUGGCAUUUUCUUCUCCAUUCUUUUAUUUCAAUGAUCUAUCUUCUAUUCUUUCGUUACGGAGGCAUUGUGAUGUUGUGCUCUUCACCCAUCACCUCGUUUUGUGAGGAUCGUGUUCUUUUCUUGCUUAUCCAUUUAACCGGAGUGUUGUGUCAUCUCUUCAAGUUCUUUUCAUCCUAUCAAGUUUUCCUUCUUCUUUCAGUCGGAGUGCUGCCCAAAUCAUAUCAAUCUUAUUCCUUCUCUAUCUACUUUUAACCGGAGUGGUUUCAAUAUCUAUCUUAUUACUAAACCUCUGGGUUCUCGUCGUAUCCCUUGCUCCUCUUUUCUAACGGAGUGUUUUCAACUUUGCUCAUCUUCGUUGUUUUCUUCAAUUCAUUUUGCUCAACCUCUCAAGGUUCAUGGUUUCACUCGUUUGCCGAAGAAGCAACUUAGUUUUACCUCUUCUCUUCCUCUUCCGCUUUCCCUCCGGUGCCAUCCUAGAUCUCGGGACGAGAUCCUCUCGUAGUGGUGGAGUGUUGUAACGCCCCGGAUUCGUUGCGCCAGGUGUCCGUCAGUUAUUCAUCGUCGUUGCCAUGUCAUUUGCUUGCGUGUUGCACUUUGCCAUGUCAUCAUUUGCAUUUUAUCAUGUCAUCAUGUGCAUUUCAUUUUGCAUACAUGUUCGUCUCAUGCAUCCGAGCAUUUUCCCCGUUAUCCGUUUUGCAAUCCGGCGCUCCUAUGUCCUCCGGCGUCUCCCUCUUCUCUCUUUUCGUGUGCGGGUGUUAAACUUUCUCGGAAUGGCCCGAGGUUUGCCAAGCGGCCUUGGUAUACCACCGGUAGACCGCCUGUCAAGUUUCG
rnacentral:lncRNA from 1 species